GACGAACGCUGGCGGCGUGCUUAACACAUGCAAGUCGAACGAAGUGGCGAACGGGUGAGUAACGCGUAAUCAACCUGCCCUUCAGAGGGGGACAACAGUUGGAAACGACUGCUAAUACCGCAUACUGAAGGAGGGGAUUGCGUGUGAUUGGCUAGUUGGAGGGGUAACGGCCCACCAAGGCGAUGAUCAGUAGCCGGGCCGGAGGGGUGAACCGCCAAAUGUGGACUGGGACACGGCCCAGACUCCUACGGGGGGGAGCAGUGGGGAAACUUCCGCAAUGGACGAAAGUCUGACGGAGCAACGCCGCGUGAGUGAUGACGGCCUUCGGGUUGUAAAGCUCUGUUAAUCGGGACGCGGUACCGGAAUAGAAAGCAACGGCUAACUACGUGCCAGCCGCCGCGGUAAUUC
rnacentral:rRNA from 1 species